rnacentral:tRNA from 1 species
AUCUUUUUAGUAUAAUUAAAUAUAUUUGACUUCCAAUCAAAAGAUCUUAAAUUAAGAAAAGAUA